rnacentral:rRNA from 1 species
GUCUACGGCCAUACCCUGCUAAACGCGCCCCAUCUUGUCAGAUCUCAGAAGCUAAUAAGCAGGGUCAGGUCUGGUUAGUAUUUGGAUGGGAGAAAGCAGAGGGCUCAAUAAACA